CCUACGGGUGGCUGCAGUGAGGAAUAUUGGUCAAUGGACGAGAGUCUGAACCAGCCAAGUCGCGUGAAGGAUGACUGCCCUAUGGGUUGUAAACUUCUUUUAUAUGGGAAUAAAAUGUUCCACGUGUGCCUUUUUGUAUGUACUUUAUGAAUAAGGCUCGGCUAACUCCGUGCCAGCAGCCGCGGUAAUACGGAGGAUGCGAGCGUUAUCCGGAUUUAUUGGGUUUAAAGGGAGCGUAGAUGGGUUGUUAAGUCAGUUGUGAAAGUUUGCGGCUCAACCGUAAAAUUGCAAUUGAUACUGGCAGUCUUGAGUACAGUAGAGGUAGGCGGAAUUCGUGGUGUAGCGGUGAAAUGCUUAGAUAUCACGAAGAACUCCGAUUGCGAAGGCAGCUUACUAAACUGCAACUGACAUUGAUGCUCGAAAGUGUGGGUAUCAAACAGGAUUAGAUACCCCAGUAGUC
rnacentral:rRNA from 1 species